rnacentral:lncRNA from 1 species
UAUGCGUUCAUAACAAACAAAUAAUAGAACUGAAAAUCCAGAUCCAUAACAUAUUCUAUUGCUAGUUCGACAAUUAAUUCGAGAAAAAUAAAAAAAUAAAAUUUACCAAUUAAUAUAGUAUAUAUUGGUAUUCCGCGUUGAGAGAAGGGAAAUCUCCAUGUAGAAAUCUGACGGAGGCAGCGACAAGGUGGGGAAGGCGCCGCCGCCAAUUGUACCAGGCGUUGAUGUGGUGGUGUUCGACGAGGGGGGAGACGAUCUCCAACAUCGGUGGAGGAGGGCCUCCUGCAACGGGUUUCGGCCGACGGCGUUUGAAGGGUGACUCCGG